GAGAUCCUACGGGGCGCAGCAGUGGGGAAUAUUGGGCAAUGGGCGCAAGCCUGACCCAGCAACGCCGCGUGAAGGAAGAAGGCUUUCGGGUUGUAAACUUCUUUUAUGAGGGACGAAAGAAAUGACGGUACCUCGUGAAUAAGCCACGGCUAACUACGUGCCAGCAGCCGCGGUAAUACGUAGGUGGCAAGCGUUAUCCGGAUUUACUGGGUGUAAAGGGCGUGUAGGCGGGACUGCAAGUCCGAUGUGAAAAUUAUAGGCUCAACCC
rnacentral:rRNA from 1 species